rnacentral:rRNA from 1 species
AUUGAACGCUGGCGGCAGGCCUAACACAUGCAAGUCGAGCGGAGCGGCGGACGGGUGAGUAAUGCCUAGGAAUCUGCCUGGUAGUGGGGGAUAACGUCCGCAAACGGGCGCUAAUACCGCAUACUCUCCGAUUCGCCUAGGUCGGCUUAGCUAGUUGGUGGGGUAAAGGCAUACCAAGGCGACGAGCCGUAACUGGUCUGAGAGGAUGAUCAGUCACACUGGAACUGAGACAAGGUCCAGACUCCUACGGGAGGCAGCAGUGGGGAAUAUUGGACAAGGGGCGAAAGCCUGAUCCAGCCAUGCCGCGUGUGUGAAGAAGGUCUUCGGAUUGUAAAGCACUUUAAGUUGGGAGGCGUUACCAACAGAAUAAGCACCGGCUAACUUCGUGCCAGCAGCCGCGGUAAUUC